AUUGAACGCUAGCGGGAUGCCUUACACAUGCAAGUCGAACGGAGUGGCGAACGGGUGAGUAAUGUAUCGGAACGUGCCCAGUAGCGGGGGAUAACUACGCGAAAGCGUAGCUAAUACCGCAUACUAUUGGAGCGGCCGAUAUCGGAUUCGCUAGUUGGGGGGGUAACGGCUCACCAAGGCGACGAUCCGUAGCUGGGUUGAGAGGACGACCAGCCACACUGGGACUGAGACACGGCCCAGACUCCGACGGGAGGCAGCAGGGGGGAAUUUUGGACAAUGGGGGAAACCCUGAUCCAGCCAGCCCGCGUGUGCGAUGAAGGCCUUCGGGUUGUAAAGUUCUUUCGGUAGCGAGGCGUUAACUACAGAAGAAGCACCGGCUAACUCCGUGCCAGCCGCCGCGGUAAUAC
rnacentral:rRNA from 1 species